UGGGGAAUCUUGCGCAAUGGCCGAAAGGCUGACGCAGCGACGCCGCGUGGAGGAUGACGCCCUUCGGGGUGUAAACUCCUGUUGCCCGGGACGAAUACCCGUUUCGACGGGGGUGACGGUACCGGGUGAGGAAGCACCGGCUAGCUCUGUGCCAGCAGCCGCGGUAAUACAGAGGGUGCGAGCGUUGUCCGGAAUCACUGGGCGUAAAGGGCGCGUAGGCGGCUGGGUAAGCGUGUGGUGAAAGCCCGGGGCUCAACCCCGGGUCGGCCACGCGAACUGUCCAGCUGGGGCACGGUAGAGGCACAUGGAAUUCCGGGUGUAGCGGUAGAAUGCGUAGAGAUCCGGAAGAACACCGGUGGCGAAGGCGGUGUGCUGGGCCGUGGCUGACGCUGAGGCGCGACAGCGUGGGGAGCAAACA
rnacentral:rRNA from 1 species